CACGUAGGCACCAAGCGUUGUCCGGAUUUAUUGGGCGUAAAGAGCUCGUAGGCGGUUCGGUAAGUCGGGUGUGAAAACUUUGGGCUCAACCCAAAGCCUGCACUCGAUACUGCUGUGACUUGAGUCCGGUAGGGGAGUGGGGAAUUCCUGGUGUAGCGGUGGAAUGCGCAGAUAUCAGGAGGAACACCGGUGGCGAAGGCGCCACUCUGGGCCGGUACUGACGCUGAGACGCGAAAGCGUGGGGAGCAAACAGG
rnacentral:rRNA from 1 species